ensembl:lncRNA
GCUACGAGCCUCGGGCUGAAGCGCGGGCGCGUGGACCAGGAGCGCGAGAGUGCGCUGCGGCGCCGGCAGAGCGGCUGCAGCUGAGGCUCCGGCAGCCGCACGUUACUGGGCAGGGAAGGUCAGCUUUCCAGGAGCCAGGAUCAGCUGCCGCACGAGCCUCUCGCCACUCCGAGCUCCGCGUGAGCCAAAGCCGGCUGUGAGGGCGGAGCGGCCCCAGCUAUGGAGCGUGCUCGCCUCCGACGAGGGUCUUGCACGCGAUGACCUUUUGCCUGAUCUGAGAACCAAGAGAGUCAACUCACUGGAAAAGACCCUGAUGCUGGGAAAGAUUGAGGGCAGGAGGAGAGGCGGCAACAGAGGAUGAGAUGGCUGGAUGGCAUCACGGACUCAGUGGACAUAAGUUUGAGCAAACUCCAGGAGAUGGUGAAGGACAGCUAUUGAUGCUAUUUAUGGUGAGAGUUGGACCAUAAAGAAGGCUGAGCACUGAAGAAUUGAUGCUUUUGAACUGUGGUGAUGGAGAAGACUCUCAAAAGUCCCUUGGACUGCAAGGAGAUCAAACCAAUCAAUCCUAAAGGAAAUCAACCCUG